rnacentral:rRNA from 1 species
UACAGAGGUCCCAAGCGUUUUUCGGAUUUACUGGGCGUAAAGGGUGCGUAGGUGGCGGGGUAAGUCUGGUGUGAAAGCUCCGAGCUCAACUCGGAAAAGCAUUGGAAACUAUCCCGCUUGAGGGUCGGAGGGGAGACUGGAAUUCUCGGUGUAGCAGUGAAAUGCGUAGAUAUCGAGAGGAACACCAGUGGCGAAGGCGAGUCUCUGGACGACUCCUGACACUGAGGCACGAAAGCUAGGGGAGCAAACAGG